UUAUUUAUUGAAGGUCGAACAAUAGAUGACUUAAUGUUGAUGUUUAUGUGCGCACAUUGAUUGAACUCCGGGUCCUGUGUUAACGUAGGCCAGGUCCCUAAGUCUUGAAUGGCGAGCUGUAGAUAGGCCUUGAGCCUGAGCCCAAGGAUCUCCACCUCUCAACCCCUGAACUCCACCUGCUCUGGUUGGGCCGAGACCUAAGGCGCAAUUCAAAUACCCCUCCUCCACCCUUGUUUUUGCCGUCCCUCCUUGGUUUUGUGCGUUUACAUCAAGCAAGAGGUGUUCCAAUCAUCCACCAGGAAGGGGGGAAGGGCGAAGUACCUACCUCACAGCGAAGUGAGCUCGCAGACCUCCCUACACUAUCCAUUGCGAGGAAAAAGAAGGCAGACCAGAAACCCAAAGAAGUGUACAAAUGGAAGCAAACAUCAGCAUCUCCUCCUCAGUGCAGUCUAUCUCCUCCAGCAGGAUGGACCAGCGACCCUGCUCGUACAGCUGCGUUAUCCUAACAGCAUCGUACUGGAAGACGCAUCAAACACGGAAUAAG